GUAGUGUUCUUUAAUUUUCGUUGUUGUGUGUAAAAAUAAUUUAUAUCUUAGACACCAAGACCAGUAUUAUUAAAAGUUAAAAGGCUCUUACUUCUUUAUGUAACACGCUAAUCUAUAGAUAAUUGUUAUUUUUUUUUAUACCAGGCAUGCAUUUCAUAACAAACUUACACAUUAGGUUUAAUUUUAAACAGGUAGGCACUAAGAAAUGUAUACUUGAUGAGAUUGUUCAGAACAUAGGUAUUUGUGCGGUUUUUAUGAAGAAAUAAGAUGAUUGAAAAACGAUAUUUUGUAAUUAACAUUAAAACUCUCCGGCAUUAAAAAUUCUAUAAUAUCAGGACCGAAGUUGAACAUAAUCUAUGACUAAAACGAAGAUAAGCCAAAAGAACAGACGGACUUCACGAUCAAAGAAGUGAGUAUUCAAAGUAUUUAAAUUAUGGGAUCCCAGAUUUAUUUAUUAUAAACACGGUAUUUAUUAAUAUAUGUUAACAUUAUUCAAUAUUGUAAUUUGUCUGCAGUGAUACUACCCACUCUUAUGAUAUCACUUGUCUACUGUUUGGUCCUAGGAAUUUUAACUGCCAGUCGGAAAAAAAGACACGAACAAAUAAAACUAAAGUUUCGAUCUUCUUAGUAAUUAUAACGAUCAAUCUCAAUUCAUUAAAUCAAAAUAUAUUUUGCAAAUAAAAUUAUUUGACAUAACUAGAUAUUAUUUUUGAUAAAACAAAUUUAAAUUAUGUAAUUUAAAAAAUAAAGAAAACCAAAGGACUUACAGAAUAGGCGAUUUAAAAUACGGGAUAAAAGUGUUGUUUAGAACAUUAGUUCAGGACACCGGAACGCUUGUCUCAAAUACUGGACGAUCCUGUAUAAUACAGAACGUAUGGGAUCUCUAAUUUAAAUGCUUAAUUGUGUAUACAGUAAAUUAAAUUAAAAUAAUUAAUUUGUAUUAUUAUAUAUACCUAUAUAUUUUAUUAUAUUGUGUUAGAUGUUACCCGCGAUUUCUUCCCUGAUGGAAUCUCGUAAUGCCUUCUCUACAAGGUAUAAAAAUACAUACGAAAAAGAUAUAUACGUGAAAAAAUGGAUUUUCAUUCCAGCACUUGGGUUUUUUACUCUCUUUAACUAUAACGAAUCUUAUUGAUAUUUUUAAACAAAUAUAUUUUAUUGAAAAAUGUUAAGGUAAGAACUUAAACGAAAACGCAUAGUUUAAAAGAUAUAUACCACUUUUAUAUUGUUGAUCUUUUUAUGGGGAGACGUAAGUAGGGGAGAGGGCUGCAGUGCACCAAUGCUUUACAGCUCUAUUUCUGAUAAAACUUCAUAGAUUUUGGUGAUGGAAUUUUCAUCCAUUAAAAUAAUAAUGUAAACUUAAUAUUAUAUUCUUAAUAAUAAUAAAUAAAUUCAUUGGUAAUAAUAUUUAUAAACGAUGAAUUUUAAAAUGCAUACGUUUUACGUUCCGUGAUAACAUAAGUAUAUUUUCGUAAUAUUCGUAAUUGAAUAAAUUCAGGACACACAUUUCAUUCAUUGUAAAAAUAAUUUUAUGUAGGUAUUGCAUGUUUUCUAAUUUUAUUUCAAAUUGUGAUAAAACGGGGAAAUAAUAAAACAUAAUAACACAAUAACGUCUCCUACGAGACCUUAAACUUUGCCUUAUUAAUGUAUUGAUAGAAGAUGUGCCACAAUAGUUCGUCUUUAUGUUGUACACCUACAGUGUAUUUGGACUUUAUAAAUUAUUGUACGAAAAAUAAAUAGUGUGAUAUUCAUUUGACUUUUUAAAAUUAUUUUGUACAUUUAUUUAUUGUGUAUAC